rnacentral:rRNA from 1 species
UGCGUAGGCGGAUUAAUAAGUCAGUGGUGAAAACCUGCAGCUUAACUGUAGAACUGCCAUUGAUACUGUUAGUCUUGAGUACGGUCAAGGUAGGCGGAAUGUGUAAUGUAGCGGUGAAAUGCUUAGAUAUUACACAGAACACCGAUUGCGAAGGCAGCUUACUGGACCAUUACUGACGCUGAGGCACCAAAGCGUGGGGAGCGAACAGGAUUAGAUACCCUGGUAGUCC